rnacentral:rRNA from 1 species
UACGUAGGGGGCUAGCGUUGUCCGGAAUCAUUGGGCGUAAAGCGCGUGUAGGCGGUUCGGUAAGUCCGCUGUGAAAGUCGGGGGCUCAACCUUUGAAAGCCGGUGGAUACUGUGAGGCUAGAGUACGGAAGAGGCGAGUGGAAUUCCUGGUGUAGCGGUGGAAUGCGCAGAUAUCAGGAGGAACACCAAUAGCGAAGGCAGCUCGCUGGGACGUAACUGACACUGAGGCGCGAAAGCGUGGGGAGCGAACAGG